UUGAUUCAUUUUUGCUUAUGCCACUCAGAAUACGUAUAAAAGACAAGAGUUUGGGUCUCCGGCGGGCGCCUGGUUCCGGGCACAGAGGCACCGGGGCAGUCCCGCCGAAGCAACGAUAGGUAAGGUUCACAGGGGUUUGGGAGUUGUAUAACUCGGUAAUGAUCCCUCCGCUGGUUCACCAACGGAGA
rnacentral:misc_RNA from 1 species